rnacentral:rRNA from 1 species
ACGAACGCUGGCGGCGUGCUUAACACAUGCAAGUCACGGGGGGUAGCAAUACCAACCGGCGAACGGGUGCGUAACACGUGAGCAACCUACCGAUUUGUGGGGGAUAGCUGGCCUAACGGCCAGGUAAUACCGCAUACGCUUGUAAAGUCUCCUGGCUUAACAAGGAAACCUCCGGGGCAAAAUCGAGGGGCUCGCGGCCUAUCAGCUAGUUGGCGAGGUCAUGGCUCACCAAGGCGACGACGGGAGCUGGUCUGAGAGGAUGGCCAGCCACAUUGGGACUGAGAAACGGCCCAGACUCCUACGGGAGGGCAGCAGUGGGGAAGUCUUGCGCAAUGGACGAAAGUCUGACGCAGCGACGCCGCGUGGGGGA